rnacentral:sRNA from 1 species
CCGUAGCCGUGAUUGUAGCGGAAAUCCUUUUUGGUGAGAGGCUAUGCCGAACCAAAAAGAUUGCAGCGGAAAGCAGGUCCUCGG